CGGAGGCGGUGCUCCUGGUUCCUCUCUCGCUUGGUUCGACUAUGUCUUGGAGAGUUUGAUUACUUCUGGGUCUGGGGUGAAGAAGCUGGACGGACUGUGGCUCGGUCGCCAUGUUGAUGGUUGUGGUGGUGGUGGUGGAGGAAGACGAGCCAGACAAGUAUCCCAAAGAGUAGGAUAGAGCAAGGAGAAGUACAUAUACCGUCGGGCCAGUGAAUUUCUUGCUGUAUUGGUGCUG